UUCCACUCACAUUGAUUUAUAGAUAUUUGCGGCUACAAUAAUGUUUUAUCUCUUCCAACUAAAAACGCGUUGCAACAAAAUUUGAGACGCUCAUUUUUGUUGUCUAAAAGACGAAAUUAAAUAAAUUGGAGGUGACAGUAGUGACACUUGAUUUUGCCCGUAAGAGUUGGCACUUCUGCUCCACAGUCACACACUGAACAACUAAAAGUAGGAAGGCGUCGUUUAACGGUUUCUUGUUUUCAACUACUGCGACAAGCGUCUCUCCAGUUUUCGUCAUUAAUUUUUGCUUCCUUGCAAUAUUGAGCUUUACUGAUUGUGCCCGCAACGUUAGUAAGUGUAGUGCCUUGUUUCGCAACUGAAGUGGCGUAACUGCAGCAAGCAUUUUCAGUAUGUAACGCCGCCUAGCCUCCUAACCUCCCUCUCUUGAUACGAGUGUGCUGUUCUUCGCACUUCAGAGCAAACAAGAAAACUUUAUAUCCUCUGCUGUGGAUUUUUUGGAUUGAUGUGCAUUGUCAGCACUUGGUAUUUCGUAGUAGGCCUAAUUUCUAUUCUGCUGCUGCUCUACAAAUAAGGGACAACCCAGUGUGGAAUCUCACCAAAUUAAGGCGGACUGCUCAAACUACUUCAAUACAGGUAUCUACAGCCACAUCUGCUGUGCGAGUCAUGUUCACUGAAUAGAGCAAGUUUGCUGCAACAAGACUGUGGUAAUCUCUACGCAGUGAGGCUAAAUAAGACAAGGAAUAUAUUUGUAGCAGCAAAGUCGCAAUGGAUAAUCACCAUUAAUUCCUUCAAUCACCAGCCAGCAAGAGAGAUAUUUAUAUUUCAUAGUUCCUGUUUUCUUGUAGGUGAUUCUUGAAUAUUUUGACCUGCGAAUUCGAUGUUGGUUUUAUGAUCUUUGCAAUGCUUCAACAAUUUGGCGGCUUCUGUUAUUUAUUUUUGGUUUGUAUUAAAACAGCAGUGUAAUUUUAA